UGGCUCAGAACGAACGCUGGCGGCGUGCCUAACACAUGCAAGUCGAACGAGAAAGUGGAGCAAUCCAUGAGUACAGUGGCGACCGGGUGAGUAACACGUGACUAACCUACCCUCGAGUGGGGAAUAACUCCGGGAAACCGGAGCUAAUACCGCAUAACAUCGCAAGAUCAAAGCAGCAAUGCGCUUGAGGAGGGGGUCGCGGCUGAUUAGCUAGUUGGUAGGGUAACGGCCUACCAAGGCUGAGGUCGGUAUCCGGCCUGAGAGGGCGCACGGACACACUGGAACUGAAACACGGGCCAGACUCCUACGGGAUUCAGCAGUGGGG
rnacentral:rRNA from 1 species